rnacentral:misc_RNA from 1 species
CGUCACAGCUCCAUUAGACGAUAUUCUCUAAAAUGCCACUGCACGGUGAUGUCAAUGAGCCGUGACGGACGAGUCCAUUGUGAAGAUGUAAACAACAGGAAGUGUGAAAGUGACAUGGAGCAAUAUGCUGGGUUGGUGUGCAGAUGGCUUGUGCAAGGCUUUCUGGUCUUGGCGACCUUGACCUUUGUCAUACAGUGGCUUCUACCGAGGGGAAGGAAAUAUUUUCGAUAUCAACGAUCAUCAGAAGAAUCAGCUACAGGAAGGGGAGAUAACUCAGAUGAGGAACGGAAGGCGAGAAUUAGACAGAAGCUACAAGAAGAACAUACACAGAAGGCUAACAGCUACAAGGACCGUAUUCUGACACCAAGGGAGGAGGCCAAGAGGAUUCAAAAAGAAGAAGAAUUUGAAAAGUUUCUGGGACCAGCUUGGAAAGGUCAAGGUCACUCAUUAGGGGGCAAUGAUAAUGAGGAACCUGACAGUACUGAAGUGGGUGGGGAAAGUCAACCCAACAGGACUGCAGCACGCAGGAGGAAGCUGCCCGAGGAACCCACGUUAACAUGUGGGGAUGUGAAGCCCAAGACAGGGAAACCUAUACAAGUGAUAAAGCUGCCCGAUGAGCCAGAAGAGAGUGAGGAACACUGUGUGAAUGUGAUACUCAGAACACCUGUCGGGAAAAGAUGCAGCAGGAGGUUCCUCCAUACACAUACCGUGAAGGUACUGCUUGACUUCAUGGCGACUCUGGGCUUCAGCCAGACGUUCUUCACUAUAUCAAUGUCAUAUCCUAGGAUGAAUUUAUCGGAGCACCUCAACAAGACUUUGUGGGAGAUGGGGUUCCAGAGACAAGUGACCUUGAAUAUAGAGGAGAAAGACACAUGAGACAGUGACACCUGUCCUAAUGUACCAUGUUGCACAGAAGUGCAAUGUUAAGCCCUUGACCUUCAGUUAGGUUAUACUACUCAACAUUCGCUAAGGACAAAGACAGCCCUCUGUAGUAGAAAGUAUGUUUGUAAGCAAAUGUUGUGUAGUAUAUAAAGAUAACAGUUCUUGGUCUAUUUAUGAUCACAAACUCUAACUCCAUCUAUAAAACAAUAUUUGAGAAUGUUACGAUGUAUCAUUGAGCUAUCCUGAUGCAGUCCUGUUGCAAAAAGGUUUCAGUUAUAGACAUUCGCCAGAAGUGAUUUACGUUGUUUCACUUGACAUGCUAAAAAUAGAAUGGAGAUUACCCAGUCAGGUAGUUCCCAGUCUGAAGCAACCCAGUGUCUUGUUUGUAGGAAACUCCCAACAUUAUCGUUGCAUGAUAUGCGAAGUCUUGACUUUAAUGUAUAAUGAGUAAGUACAUCAUAGAGUUAAUAGGAGGGUUUUUUUUAUCCAAAAUAUAUAACAUUGACCGAGGAAAAAGUCUGCGGUCAAUAUUUCAUUUUUAAGGUCCAUAAAACACAGGUGUUAAACUCAUAUGACAUCUAUAAUUGUAUAUUGUUAGUGAGUAAAAUAUAUAAUCAUUUUUCAUUAUGGCUCUAUACCUAAGAAACAUGACAUAAAUAUCAAAUGAUCUCUUUUUUCCACAUUAACUCAGCUGAAAGUGAAAAUAUCCUUGAUGCCAGUUUGGUUUGAUCUCCAUUCCUUCCAUUGACCUAUGUAACCUGACACUGGAACUCCAGAUAUCUGUCAGCUCCCAUCCAGUUCUGUAACCUGACACUGGAACUCCAGAUAUCUGUCAGCUCCCAUCCAGUUCUGUAACCUGACACUGGAACUCCAGAUAUCUGUCAGCUCCCAUCCAGUUCUGUAACCCGACACUGGAACUCCAGAUAUCUGUCAGCUCCCAUCCAGUUCUGUAACCCGACACUGGAACUCCAGAUAUCUGUCAGCUCCCAUCCAGUUCUGUAACCCGACACUGGAACUCCAGAUAUCUGUCAGCUCCCAUCCAGUUCUGUAACCUGACACUGGAACUCCAGAUAUCUGUCAGCUCCCAUCCAGUUCUGUAACCCGACACUGGAACUCCAGAUAUCUGUCAGCCACCCACUGCCCUUUCUAAGGUUCUUCACCACAAACACACUUGACAGUCAUAGAGUGGUAUUUACCACAGGACAGAUGAGUGAGUGAGUGAGUGAGUGUAGUUUUACACCGCUUUUAGUAAUAUUCUAGCAAUACCAAAGUGAGGCACCAGAAAUGUGCUUCACAUAUUGUAACCGUGUGGGGAAUUGAACCCAGGUCUUUGGCUUGAUAGUGAACACAGUAAACACAAAGUCACCCUACCGCCCCAACAGAUAAAAACAAUCUAAUACUGCUAUUAUAAGAGCAAGAACAAGGUUUUUUAUGUUUUUGUUAUCCCACCUUAAGACUUUAUUACAACAAAUCAAAAACUGUGUUUUAAAUGCAUGGACCUGACAAGGACCUAUUUGCAUUGUUCUUGUAUAUGGUAAAUAGCCGCAGCUUGAAUCUAACACCUGUGGUGUUCUACUGUAAGGGCUCUAAUUAUAUUAUAUUUGGUACUCUGUAAAUUGACCUUGUCAAGAAAGAGAAUGGUCUUUAAGAAAAAGAAGACAAUUUCAUUUAAUAGAUUAAGUUUACAAUUUAAGGUAUGAUGCAGUGUAUGAAAUAAGAAUCAUGUUCAUGAUGAUACACUUCAUAUGAGAAUCAAGAGUCGUAUGUACAAUGUUAGCACUCAUCUGAAGAUAAAGUAACAUAUAUCAUGCACAUAGUUAGGGGUGGGUAUUGCAGAGAAUUUUCAUAUUGCGAUAUAUUGCGAUGCGAAAGCAUGUAUUGCGAUAUGUAUUGCAAUAUAUUGCAUGA